UUAUAUGUGGUAGUUUAUUUGAUUUAUAUGCAAUUUGAGCUCAAAAUACCUCUUAGUUUGCAUAUGUAGGUGUGGUUUACUUAGUGCCUUCCCGUCUCCGUCCUAACCACCGUCGAUCGUCCGCACCGUCUUGUGGCCGACACCACCUUGUGGGUGCCAUGGUUUUAAUAUCCGUCCCCGCCGACCCUCGUCCGGGUUAUGAUUCGGAUGUGGAGGUAUGUGAACCGGAAAUUCCAACCGACCCUAUUGUCGAGAGGUUAAAUGUAUUUGAAAGAGGAAAUGAUUAUUUGAAAGAAAAAUUGAAAAGAAUUGAAGGGGAGAAGAUGGAAUUGGAGUUGCAUGUUGCCCAUGUCGUCGAUGAUCACAAGAUCAAGAUGGAGAAAAUGCGCUUGAAGA